CAGCCGCCGCGGUAAUACCGGCGGCCCGAGUGGCGGUCACUAUUAUUGGGCUUAAAGCGUCCGUAGCCGGGUUGGGAAGUCCUCCGGGAAAUCUGGCCGCUUAACGGUCAGAAUGCCGGAGGAUACUCCCAGCCUAGGGAGCGGGAGAGGCCGAGGGUAUUCCCGGAGUAGGGGUGAAAUCCUAUAAUCCCGGGAGGACCACCUGUGGCGCAGGCGCUCGGCUGGAACGCGUCCGACGGUGAGGGACGAAGGCCAGGGGAGCAAACCGGAUUAGAUACCCGGGUAGUCCUGGCUGUAAACGAUGCGGACUUUGUGUCGGACAAGCUAUGAGCUUGUCCGGUGCCGGAGGGAAACCGUUAAGUCCGCCGCCUGGGGAGUACGGCCGCAAGGCUGAAACUUAAAGGAAUUGGCGGG
rnacentral:rRNA from 1 species